rnacentral:rRNA from 1 species
UAAAUUUAUCUAAGGGCAGAUGGUGGAUGCCUAGACCAGAAGAGGCGAUGAAGGACGUACUAGGCUGCGAUAAGCCAGGGGGAGCUGCCAAGAAGCUCUGAUCCCUGGAUUUCCGAAUGGGGCAACCCAACAUGUAGCGAUGCAUGUUACUCUUUCGAGAGAGCGAACGUAGGGAAGUGAAACAUCUCAGUACCUACAUGAAAAGAAAUCAACCGAGAUUCCCAAAGUAGCGGCGAGCGAAAUGGGAUUAGGGCAUAUAGUGAUAAUAUAUUUGUUAGCAGAAGAAUUUGGAAAGAUUCAGCAAAGAGGGUGAUACUCCCGUAAGCGAAAACAUUUAUAUGGUACUAGGCUAUAGAACGAGUAGGUCGGGACACGUGUUAUCUUGACUGAAUAUGGGGGGACCACCCUCCAACCCUAAAUACUACUACCAGACCGAUAGCGAACUAGUACCGUGAGGGAAAGGUGAAAAGGACUGCGGUGAGCAGAGUGAAAUAGAACCUGAAACCUAUGGCUUACAAUCAUUUGGAGCGGUAUGCUUUAUGCACCGUGACAGACUGCCUUUUGCAUAAUGAGCCUGCGAGUUGUGGUCAGUGGCAAGGUUAAUCGAACGAGAAGCCGUAGCGAAAGCGAGUCUUAAUAGGGCGAAUUAGUCAGAUGCUGCAGACCCGAAACUGAGUGAUCUAUCCAUGUGCAGGUUGAAGCUGGUGUAAGAGCCAGUGGAGGACCGAACCCGUAUAGGUUGAAAACUGUUGGGAUGACAUGUGGAUAGGGGUGAAAGGCCAAUCAAACUCAGUGAUAGCUGGUUCUCUCCGAAAUAUAUUUAGGUAUAGCCUCGAGCAUUAGCAUGAAGGGGUAGAGCACUGACAGGGCUAGGGCUGCUUACCGCGGUACCAAACCCUAUCAAACUCCGAAUACUUCAUGUGUAACCUCGGGAGUCAGGCGUAGGGUGAUAAAAUCCUAUGUCGAGAGGGGAACAACCCAGACUAACAGCUAAGGUCCCAAAGUUUUAUCUAAGUGGAAAAGGAUGUGGAGUUGCUGUGACAACCAGGAGGUUGGCUUAGAAGCAGCCAUCCUUUAAAGAAAGCGUAACAGCUCACUGGUCUAGCGAUUCUGCGCCGAAAAUAUAACGGGGCUAAGAUAAACACCGAAGCUUUAGAUUCCAACCUAGUUUGAGUGGUAGGAGAGCGUUCUAGUCAGCAUUGAAGCCAUACCGGUAAGGAGUGGUGGAGCGGCUAGAAGUGAGCAUGCAGGCAUGAGUAGCGAUAAAAUAGGUGAGAAUCCUAUUCGCCGAAAACCCAAGGUUUCCUACACGAUGCUCGUCAAUGUAGGGUUAGUCGGGUCCUAAGCUGAGUCCGAAAGGGGUAAGCGAUGGCAAAUUGGUUAAUAUUCCAAUACCAACUAAUAGUUUAGUACGAAGGGGGGACGCAUAGGGUUAAACGAGGUCACUGAUGGAAUAGUGGCUCGAAGGGUGUAGAUAAGCUGGAUAGGAAAAUCCGCCGGCUGUUUUCGAGACCUGACAGGCAGACCGCGUUCUUCGGAACAAAGUUUGAAUCGUUGAUACCGUCGUGCCGAGAAAAGCCUCUAAGUGUAUUAUUAGUUGCCCGUACCGUAAACCGACACAGGUGGGUGAGAUGAGUAUUCUAAGGCGCGUGGAAGAACCCUGGUUAAGGAACUCUGCAAACUAGCACCGUAUCUUCGGUAUAAGGUGUGCCCUAGGUGUUAGAGGACUUGCUCCUCGAGGCACUGAUGGGUCGCAGCAAAGAGUCCCUCCCGACUGUUUACCAAAAACACAGCACUCUGCUAACUCGUAAGAGGAUGUAUAGGGUGUGACGCCUGCCCGGUGCUUGAAUGUUAAAAGGAUUGCUUAGCUUUGCGAAGGCAUGAAUUGAAGCACAAGUAAACGGCGGCCGUAACUAUAACGGUCCUAAGGUAGCGAAAUUCCUUGUCG